rnacentral:rRNA from 1 species
GGCAGCGCGGACUUCGGUCUGGCGGCGAGUGGCGAACGGGUGAGUAAUACAUCGGAACGUACCCUGUUGUGGGGGAUAACUAGUCGAAAGAUUAGCUAAUACCGCAUACGACCUGAGGGUGAAAGCGGGGGACCGCAAGGCCUCGCGCAGCAGGAGCGGCCGAUGUCUGAUUAGCUAGUUGGUGGGGUAAAGGCCCACCAAGGCGACGAUCAGUAGCUGGUCUGAGAGGACGAUCAGCCACACUGGGACUGAGACACGGCCCAGACUCCUACGGGAGGCAGCAGUGGGGAAUUUUGGACAAUGGGGGCAACCCUGAUCCAGCAAUGCCGCGUGUGUGAAGAAGGCCUUCGGGUUGUAAAGCACUUUUGUCCGGAAAGAAAUUGCUCUGGCUAAUACCUGGGGUAGAUGACGGUACCGGAAGAAUAAGCACCGGCUAACUACGUGCC